rnacentral:rRNA from 1 species
UACAGAGGGUGCGAGCGUUAAUCGGAAUAACUGGGCGUAAAGGGUGCGUAGGUGGUGAUUUAAGUGUGUUGUGAAAGCCCUGGGCUUAACCUGGGAACGGCAACACAUACUGGGUCACUCGAGUAGGUGAGAGGGGAGUGGAAUUUCCGGUGUAGCGGUGAAAUGCGUAGAGAUCGGAAAGAACACCAGUGGCGAAGGCGACUCCCUGGCACCAUACUGACACUGAGGCACGAAAGCGUGGGGAUCAAACAGG